rnacentral:rRNA from 1 species
AGUGAACGCUGGCGGUAGGCCUAACACAUGCAAGUCGAACGGCAGCACAGUAAGAGCUUGCUCUUACGGGUGGCGAGUGGCGGACGGGUGAGGAAUACAUCGGAAUCUACUUUUUCGUGGGGGAUAACGUAGGGAAACUUACGCUAAUACCGCAUACGACCUACGGGUGAAAGCAGGGGAUCUUCGGACCUUGCGCGAUUGAAUGAGCCGAUGUCGGAUUAGCUAGUUGGCGGGGUAAAGGCCCACCAGGCGACGAUCCGUAGCUGGUCUGAGAGGAUGAUCGGCCGCACUGGAACGUAGACACGGUCCAGACUCCUACGGGAGGCAGCAGUGGGGAAUAUUGGACAAUGGGCGCAAGCCUGAUCCAGCCAUACCGCGUGGGUGAAGAAGGCCUUCGGGUUGUAAAGCCCUUUUGUUGGGAAAGAAAAGCAGCAGGUUAAUACCCCGCUGUUCUGACGGUACCCAAAGAAUAAGCACCGGCUAACUUCGUG